GUUCCCGGUCUCUCUGGAUGGCGUGAAAGAUGUAAACUGACCGUCCUAGGAACUGGAGCUGAAAGUCACAGUGGACCAGCUGGAGAAUGUGUUGAAUUAAUUGUGAAAUUCAGAGCGGCAAUAUGUUUGUUUGUUGUGUCGAGAUAUCGAGGCCUUUUGGGAGGACGCAGAGGGUCAGUAAAAAGUAUGCGGGCAACAAAAGAGCAAAAUACAAUAAAAGCAGCCCCGGGGUCACAGGUCAGAAUCAUUACUGAUUGAGAUAUUUACAACUCUCCACAACUGCAAAAGAGAAAACGGAGCACGUGCGUCUUGUCAUUAAUUAUCUUCCAGAAACACUAAACCCCCAAGUCCCAGCGAUUCACACCCUCACUCAGCGCCCAAACUGCAGGCUUUUAGGAACCGGCGGGUGAAGCGAGCAUCGCCCGGCUCCGUUCAAAAUGACUUCAGCUUCCUCAAGAAAACUUCUGACUGGGGCUUUUGUUUUCAUUCUCCCUGAAGUUAAUCCCAGCCGUUUGCGACACGUCUGUAAAAUCCAUCUGUAUAGGCACUUCAGAGUUUGUGUUGAGAAAUCGACUUAAAUCGCUGAGUGGUUAUUUUAACAUCUUAAAGGCAAGCCCCAUGUUUGAGUUAUUGAUACAAAUCGUUGGCUACUUCGCCCUAUUCACACGCUCUCGGCCACUAAUGACUACAGUAACCUUGGACUCGCAACAACAAAAACAGUUAGUUCUGUAGUAACUCAGUUUUCAUGGACGAACUGAAAUAUUUGUGAUGAACGAGCUCACAUUAAAAGGAAGCGGUUCCCCCUUUUUCCUUGUGAGCAGUUGUUAAUUUUUUUCCCUUUAAAAUAAUAUUGAAAAAUAGGAAAGCCAUUGAUUGCCACUGCAAUGAUUAAUUUGAGCAGAAUA